rnacentral:rRNA from 1 species
GACGAACGCUGGCGGCACGCCUAACACAUGCAAGUCGAACGGACUUACAAGAGCUUGCUUUUUUAAGUUAGUGGCGGACGGGUGAGUAACACGUGAGCAACCUGCCUCUGAGAGGGGGAUAGCUUCUGGAAACGGAUGGUAAUACCCCAUAAAAUAUAAAUAUCGCAUGAUAGAUAUAUCAAAGAAAUUCGCUCAGAGAUGGGCUCGCGGCUGAUUAGAUAGUUGGUGAGGUAACGGCUCACCAAGUCGACGAUCAGUAGCCGGACUGAGAGGCUGAACGGACACAUUGAGACUGAGACACGGCCCAGACUCCUACGAGAGGCAGCAGUGGGGAAUAUUGCACAAUGGAGGGAACUCUGAUGCAGCGAUGCCACGUGGAGGAAGAAGGUUUUCGGAUUGUAAACUCCUUUUAACAGUGACGAUAAUGACGGUACCUGAAGAAAAAGCUCCGGCUAACUACGUG